rnacentral:rRNA from 1 species
UUAAAUUAAUAAGGGCGUAUGGUGGAUGCCUAGGCAUUAGAAGACGAAGAAGGACGCGACAAACAGCGAAAUUGCCUCGGGGAGUUGUAAGUAAACAUUGAUCCGGGGGUAUCCGAAUGAGGAAACUUACCAAGAAAGGUAUCCUAAAAUGAAUACAUAGUUUUAGUGAAGGAAACCCUGUGAACUGAAACAUCUUAGUAACAGGAGGAAAAGAAAGAAAAAUCGAUUGCCUUAGUAGUGGCGAGCGAAACGGCAAUAGCCCAAACCAAUCUACGGAUUGGGGUAGUAGGACACUUCGAAACGAGAAUAAGAGCUAAAGAUAGCUAAAUGAUUUGGGAAAGUCAGUCAAAGAAGGUGAAAACCCUGUAGGCGAAAUCUGAAGCACUCAGAAGUGAAUCCUGAGUACGGCGGGACACGAGAAAUCCUGUCGGAAUCAACGGGGACCAUCCCGUAAGGCUAAAUACUCUCUAAUGACCGAUAGUGAACAAGUACCGUGAGGGAAAGGUGAAAAGAACCCCGGGAGGGGAGUGAAAUAGAGAAUCUGAAACCAUAUGCUUACAAAAAGUUCGAGCCCGUUAAAGGGUGAGAGCGUGCCUUUUGCAGAAUGAGCCGGCGAGUUAUGGUAUUGUGCAAGGUUAAGUAGAAAAUACGGAGCCGAAGCGAAAGCGAGUCUUAAAAGGGCGAAGAAGUACAAUGCUGUAGACCCGAAACUGAGUGAUCUAGCCAUGAGCAGGUUGAAGUGUAGGUAACACUACAUGGAGGACCGAACCAGGGUACUAUGUAACGUGCUUGGAUGACUUGUGGUUAGCGGUGAAAUUCCAAUCGAACUCAGAGAUAGCUGGUUCUCCCCGAAAUAGGUUUAGGCCUAGCCUUGAAGAAUUUCCUCUGGAGGUAGAGCACUGAAUGUGGAAUGGCCGCGUCUAGCGGUACUGACUGCAAUCAACCUCCGAAUGCCAGAGUAGUUAGCUUCAGGAGUCAGUUUAUGGGUGAUAACGUCCAUAUGCGAGAGAAAAACAAUUCAGACCACCAGUUAAGGUCCCAAAAUAUAUGUUAAGUGGGAAAGGAUGUGGAGUUGCACGAACAGCUAGGAGGUUGGCUCAGAAGCAGCCAUCCUUUAAAGAGUGCGUAAUAGCUCACUAGUCGAGUGGCUCUGCGCCGAAAAUGUACCGGGGCUAAACAUAUUACCGAAACUGUGGAUUUAUGCGAUAGCAUAAGUGGUAGGGGAGCGUUCUAAGGGCGACGAAGAUAGAUCGAGAGGACUAUUGGAGCGCUUAGAAGUGAGAAUGCCGGUGUGAGUAACGUAAGGUAGGUGAGAAUCCUACCCACUGAUUGACCAAGGAUUCCAGGGUCAAGUUCGUCUACCCUGGGUAAGUCAGGACCUAAGGCGAGGCUGAGAAGCGUAGUCGAUGGACAACAGGUUUAUAUUCCUGUACUAUUUAUAGGACUGAAGGAGUGACAAAGGAAGCUAGUAAGAACCAUUUAAUGGAUUAUGGUCUAAGCACAAAGACUGAUACAUAGGAAAAUCCGUGAUAUCGAACGGUUGAAGUGUGAUGGCGAAGCAGUCUACGGACAGCGAAGUCUUAUGAGGCUAAACUUUUUAAAAAAGCUUCUAAAGAAAUGCUAUAAAUACCUGUACUAAGAACCAACGCAGGUGGUCAAGGAGAGAAUCCUAAGGUGAGCGAGAGAACUAUGGUUAAGGAACUCGGCACAAUGAUCCCGUAACUUCGGAAUAAGGGAAGGUCUUGAAAAAGACCCGCAGUGAAUAGGCCCAAGCGACUGUUUACCAAAAACACAGGUUUCUGCAAAAGCGUAAGCUGAAGUAUAGGAGCUGACGCCUGCCCAGUGCUGGAAGGUUAAGAUGAUUUGUAAGAUGGACGAAAGUCGAUAACAUCGAAGCAAUGAAUUGAAGCCCCAGUGAACGGCGGCGAUAACUAUAAUCGUCCAAAGGUAGCGAAAUUCCUUGUCAGGUAAGUUCUGACCCGCACGAAAGGCGUAACGA